GUUUCCUCUACACAACAGAAAAGAUUGGCAAGAUGGAUGUCUUACUUGCUCAACCCAAACAUGACAGUGAUCGCAUCGAUCCUAGUAAAGGUUGCUUUUUUAUUUCACAAAAUCCGUCUCCUGUAUUUCCAAGCUAAGCCACAUCACCAAACAUCCCGGAAACAAAACUUACUGAGCAACGAUUGGACUACAGCGUGCUGCGCAACAGCAAGGGACCGUUUGCAAAAUCCAAUACUCCAACGACACGACGGUGAUGCUUGAGAGUGUGUGGUUCAAUGUUGUGUAGUGUGGCGUGCAUGACUGAUGAUCUCAAUAGAUGAUUGAAAAUUCAAACACUCGAGGUCAGUAACGCCGUGGCGUUUCAUCAUGGUACAACAGAGAGCUAAGGGACUUGACGUCAGGGUCAAUCUGAUCGUCAACUACGGCAGGCAACUGGGCCGCAGUCUGUUGCUUCUUGCCCACUACACCACACUUUUUGCACAGUUCCUGUCCAGCUCAGUGAGGUGUAUGGUAGAGGUGGCAAGGUGGACCUCACUGUUCGCUCGGGGCACAACAGCAGUGUUCGGGUCCAUCUACAGGCACCUGAACAGGCUGGGGAGGAGGACAGUCGAACCCUCAGUGCCACAGCGGUCCUCUUCGUCAGUGACUCGCAGCGUCAGUGAUCAUGAUGAGGUUGAGAGAUGAGGAGAGCAGCGCCCCAGUGUUGGUCGUUUCAACUCUGUCGACAGUGAAUGAGAAAAGCCUUAUGGAAAUUGUGAUAUUGGUAUUAUUUGAAAAAGAUGGGGGUGUAAUGAUGUGAGCGGGCCUAAAGUUCAGCUGCACCCAGGCUAGGAUUUUAGGUGCAUCACCUUUGUAUCAAAAUGAUGAACAACUGAGAAAUCUGCAUAGGCCAGAUAUGCACUACUAAUAUGUACUUUGUUGCAUCAUAUCUGUUUUAUAUUUCAUAUACAAUAUGUCCAUGUAUUUUUGUAUGUAGCCACACUGUAGGCCUAUAACCACUAAAAUAACAUUAUACUAAGAAAGCAGAGCUGAUACACCUCCAAAAUCCAGGGAAGACGUUUUUAUGUCCAGAGCCACUAAUGAUAUCCAGCACAUUGGUCAAUCCAGAAAGGGGCAUUGGAGCGCUCUGUCUUCUACUGUAGGCUACAAUCCAAGACCAGUGUGUCAGGCUACUCAUCCAAGGGGCCAAAACAAUAUAGCCUGCUUUUGAGCCAUGAUCAAUGUAGCAUUGAAUAUCACACAUGAAAGACUGUAAGAAUGUAAGAUUGUAAUAGAGCCAGUACCAUUUGAUGGAAAACAAAGAAGCAUUUUCUAUAUUCAAAUAUUCAGCACUAUACCACUAGUUGCUGCAGGUUAUGUAAUAGUUUGGUUGUUUUGUUUACUUUCUGUUGGUUUGGUUAUGCAGUUUAAGUAAGCGAGUUAGGAUUGUUUGAAGUUGAAUCAGAUCAUGGCUACAAGUAAUGAAACAACCCAAUGCAUAUGAUAUGACAUUUAUAUUACCAUUAUUUUCAUUCAUAUAAAAGUGGAAUUUAUGUUACUUACUUUUAUAACAUGCCAGCAUGUUUAACAUGUGUGCUAUAUUGUACUGAUCACUAACUAACAAUGUCAGAAAUCUUUUUAACAUGUAUUGGAAGUUUACAUUUCCUAUAACUGUUCUAAACUGAAUGUUUAAAGAUAUACAGUAUUUUAGACACCUGUGAUAUCCACAUGGAGAUAUGUUAACUUGAAUAUAUUCCAACAUUAAGAGGGCCACUAUUAAUGUAUGAAUUUCAAUUUGACUUUUCAAAUAAACUCAUCUUAAAAA